ACGACUCUCGACAACGGAUAUCUCGGCUCUCGCAUCGAUGAAGAACGUAGCGAAAUGCGAUACUUGGUGUGAAUUGCAGAAUCCCGUGAACCAUCGAGUCUUUGAACGCAAGUUGCGCCCGAAGCCACUAGGCUGAGGGCACGUCUGCCUGGGUGUCAUGU
rnacentral:rRNA from 1 species